CUUGUAGCUCAGCAGGAUAGAGCAACGGCCUUCUAAGCCGUGGGUCCGGGGUUCGAAUCCCUGCAG
rnacentral:tRNA from 2 species